AGUGAACGCUGGCGGUAUGCCUAACACAUGCAAGUCGAACGGCAGCACAGUAAGAGCUUGCUCUUACGGGUGGCGAGUGGCGGACGGGUGAGGAAUACUUCGGAAUCUACUUUUUCGUGGGGGAUAACGUAGGGAAACUUACGCUAAUACCGCAUACGACCUACGGGUGAAAGCAGGGGAUCUUCGGACCUUGCGCGAUUGAAUGAGCCGAUGUCGGAUUAGCUAGUUGGCAGGGUAAAGGCCCACCAAGGCGACGAUCCGUAGCUGAUCUGAGAGGAUGAUCAGCCACACUGGAACUGAGACACGGUCCAGACUCCUACGGGAGGCAGCAGUAGGGAAUCUUGCACAAUGGGCGAAAGCCUGAUCCAGCCAUGCCGCGUGGGUGAAGAAGGCCUUCGGGUUGUAAAGCCCUUUUGUUGGGAAAGAAAAGCAGCAGGUUAAUACCCCGCUGUUCUGACGGUACCCAAAGAAUAAGCACCGGCUAACUUCGUG
rnacentral:rRNA from 1 species